CCUACGGGUGGCAGCAGUAGGGAAUUUUCGGCAAUGGGGGGAACCCUGACCGAGCAACGCCGCGUGAACGAAGAAGUUAUUCGUAAUGUAAAGUUCUUUUAACAGGGAAGAAAGAGAAAUUUGACGGUACCUGAAGAAUAAGCUCCGGCUAACUACGUGCCAGCAGCCGCGGUCAUACGUAGGGCGCGAGCGUUAUCCGGAAUUAUUGGGCGAAAAGGGUGCGUAGAGGGCAUAGUAAGUCUUUUGUAAAAAUGCUGGGCUCAACCCAGUAGGGCAAAAGAUACUGCAAAGCUAGAGUAUGACAGAGGCAAGUGGAACUACAUGUGUAGCGGUAAAAUGCGUAAAUAUAUGUAAGAACACCAGUGGCGAAGGCGGCUUGCUGGGUCGAUACUGACAUUGAGGCACGAAAGCGUGGGGAGCAAACAGGAUUAGAUACCCGAGUAGUC
rnacentral:rRNA from 1 species